UACGGAAGGGGCAAGCGUUGUUCGGAAUCAUUGGGCGUAAAGGGCGCGUAGGUGGUUCUGUAUGUCUACCGUGAAAGCGUACGGCUCAACCGUAUUUUGUCGGUGGAAACUGCAGGACUUGAGGCUGGGAGGGGCUGGUGGAAUUCCCUGUGUAGCGGUGAAAUGCGUAGAGAUGGGGGAGAACACUCGUGGCGAAGGCGGCAUCCUGGACCGGCAUUGACGCUGAGGCGCGAAAGCCAGGGGAGCAAACGGG
rnacentral:rRNA from 1 species